CGGAGCGGGGCCGGCGUCCGCUUGCUCCAGUCGCGUAAACACAUGGCGUUUACGACUGUCUGGGAAGCCUGACGCCGUGACCUCCCGACGCCGCGAGACUCAAGGAAUGAACAUAAUAAUUUCCUACUAGUAUGAAGGAGUUGAGGCAUACUGUUUUUUUGUUUGUUUUGUUUUUUGUUUUUUUAAAAAGCAUAUUCUAGUUUCUAUCUGUAACUCGUUUCUAGUUCUGCCACCGCGAUGCCGAAGGCGCCCAAGCAGCAGCUGCCGGAGCCCGAGUGGAUCGGGGACGGAGAGAACACGAGCCCAUCAGCCUGGAAGAACCUUAAGCUUUGUCAUUCCCCAUCACUAGUGUGUAUGAACUAAAGAAUAAGCUGACUCCACCAGGUGAGAACAGCUUCAUCUGCAACUCCAGAGAUGACUAGAACACAGGGAUUAAAUAAAAUGCUGGUUUCCACUGCAUUUAUUACUAAUAUAAAAAAAGUUAAAAAGAAAAAAAAAAAAAAAACCUCAUUCUCAGUUCUCCAACAGCUCUCACCCCUCCCU